AGACAGAGAAUGCUGAUUCACUAUGCAGUGAAACAUGCCUAACGUGUCAACAGCUAAAUGCCCGGUGACAGUGUGGUUGUCUGGGCAACAGAAGAAGUCACCCACGCAAACACUUAAAGGACCAUACUUAUUUUACAAGAGGAACAGUUUUCAAUGGAAUGGAUAUUAAAACACACACCUGGAUCCCUUUACCACAGGUGCUUUGAGAGGCACCAUCAAGGACAGUGAGCUAACGCAGGAGAAUGGAGUCCCAGAAACCUAGGAGGAGAAGACAAAGUGUCAGCCUCUCGGCAUCUGCAGUGUUGCUAGGAAAAGAGCUCUGAUCCCAGGGGCUUACCCACUUCCACAGGAUCAUCCUCUGCAUAUGAAGGAACAGACAAGCCCUCAGCUCUACCACUUUGGAGAGGGGGGGAUUGGACAGCAUGAGCCUUCAAUUGUAUCUCUUGGAUGACCAAGGAAGGCUGGAUUUCUGCACCUAAAAAAUGGAAGCACAAACUGUACAACAAAUACUCUCCAUUCAAGUUGAAGUUCUCAAAUAAGUUUUGAAAGGUUCACUCCAGCUACUCUGUUGACAAUGGAUUAUAGAAGACUGAACAUGGAAUCCAGGAGACCAGUCAGAAAACUUCUUCAGGAAUCCAGCACAGUAAUGGCAAAUUCAUCCUUCCCCUUUAUUAGGCCUCUCUACUCCACAUUUUUCAUUGCCUGCAUUCCAAUCCAUCUGCAA
rnacentral:lncRNA from 10 species